UACGUAGGGGGCGAGCGUUAUCCGGAUAUAUUGGGCGCAAAGGGUGCGUAGGCUGCGUUACAAGUCUGAGUUGAAAGCCCACUGCUUAACCGUGGAGGGUGCUCGGAAACUGUAAGGCUUGAAUCCAGAAGAGGCAAGUAGAAUUCUAUGUGGAGCGGUGGAAUGCGUAGAUAUAUUGAGGAAUACCAGUGGCGAAGGCGGCUUGCUGGUCUGGGAUUGCCGCUGAGGUGCGAAAGCGUGGGGAGCAAACAGG
rnacentral:rRNA from 1 species